rnacentral:misc_RNA from 1 species
AAGGAGUUGGGGUUUAGUGGAACAAAUUGAUGAUAUUCAACUGAAGGUCCCAGGGAUGGCAACAGCCAUGAUUGAUCCAUCAUCACAUACAGAAUUUACCAGCAAACAUCACCUAGAGAAGGGCUCUGAAAACAAUGAACCUCCAGCCACCACUUCUGAAAUUGCCUCUCAUUUUCCACAUGUAGAGCUGUUAGAAAAGGCAGCUAUGCCACCACCACCAGCUGUUGAUAAUGACUUGCAUCAGAAAAACAGGGUUGAAUCACCACCAGCUGCAGCUCCCUCAGAACCACAGAUUGAAGGAGAUUUACAUGAUGGGCUGUCUGACACUAAGGAACUGAAAAGUGUUGAAACCCGAGAAGUUAAAAAAUCAUCUGAAAAGAAGUCCAGGAAGCAAAAGUCCACUAAGGGGCAAACUUCGGACUUAGCAAAGGGAGCUUCUAAGUCACAGCCAUCAAAGCCCUUACAAUCUGAUGCUCCAAUUGUUUCUGAUUCACCAUCUGUUUCAGUCGAUAAAGCUACAGCUGUAGGUCCAGGAAGAAGAGAGAGCAGACCCGAAGUUGCUAUUGCUGAUGUUGUGGAUGAAUAUCCAGGGCAAAACCCACCAAUUUCACAGUCCAACACCCAAGUACAGUCUGGACAGCGAGCUUGGAAACCUGCUCCUGGUUUCAAGCCGAAGUCAUUGUUGGAAAUUCAAGAGGAAGAGCAGAGGAGAGCACAAGCAGAAAUAACUACUACAGAGGUCGCCACAUCUCUGAGCUCCUUAAGUGUGUCUACUCCAUGGGCUGGAUUUGUUACUAAUUCAGAUCAUAAAUUAGUUAGAGAUACUCAGCAAGAUGCUGCCAGCACUGAUUUGAAUAUGAAUAACUCAGAUGUUUCUCUCGACCAGAAGACUAAGAAAAGUCAAUUGCAUGACGUACUGGCUGAGAACACUUUGGCCAAGUCAAGCGAUAGAGAGAGAGAUUUUCCUGAUAUGACAUCUGUUCAACCUU